UACGUAGGGUGCAAGCGUUAAUCGGAAUUACUGGGCGUAAAGCGUGCGCAGGCGGUUAUGCAAGACAGGUGUGAAAUCCCCGGGCUUAACCUGGGAACUGCAUUUGUGACUGCAUAGCUAGAGUACGGUAGAGGGGGAUGGAAUUCCGCGUGUAGCAGUGAAAUGCGUAGAUAUGCGGAGGAACACCGAUGGCGAAGGCAAUCCCCUGGACCUGUACUGACGCUCAUGCACGAAAGCGUGGGGAGCAAACAGG
rnacentral:rRNA from 1 species